CAAAUGCGAUAACUAGUGUGAACUGCAGAUAUUUUGAACAUUGAGACUUCGAAUGCACAUUGCGCCGUUGGAGUCACAUCCUACGGCACAUCUGGCUCAGGGUCGUCUUCCAAAACGAAUGCCCAUCGUUUGUGGAGCGCCAGUUCACUUUGCGGGCUGCUGCUGCCCUUGUACUAAAGUGUCCCAGUGUCCUAUGUCAAUUCGAGCCGACGCGGGUUGGGCUCGGUGUGGGUUAGUCGAACGCUUCUACGACUACCACACGUCUGACUACCAACCCGUGCCGCUCUCUCAGCGACCUGAGCUCAGGUGUGAGUACCUGCUGAACUUAA
rnacentral:misc_RNA from 1 species